AGAGUUUGAUCAUGGCUCAGGAUGAACGCUAGCGGCAGGCCUAACACAUGCAAGUCGAGGGGUAGAACACUUCGGUGUUUGAGACCGGCGCACGGGUGCGUAACGCGUAUGCAAUCUGCCUUGUACUAAGGGAUAGCCCAGAGAAAUUUGGAUUAAUACCUUAUAGUAUAUAGAUGUGGCAUCACAUUUAUAUUAAAGAUUUAUCGGUACAAGAUGAGCAUGCGUCCCAUUAGCUAGUUGGUAUGGUAACGGCAUACCAAGGCAAUGAUGGGUAGGGGUCCUGAGAGGGAGAUCCCCCACACUGGUACUGAGACACGGCCCAGACUCCUACGGGAGGCAGCAGCCAGGAAUCUUGGGCAAUGGGCGCAAGCCUGACCCAGCAACACCGUGUGGGCGAUGAAGGCCUUCGGGUCGUAAAGCCCUGUUGAUAGGGACGAAGGGCGAAGGGUUAAUAGCCCCUAGCCUGACGGUACCUUUCGAGGAAGCCCCGGCUAACUACGUGCCAGCCGCGGCGGUAAUAC
rnacentral:rRNA from 1 species